UUUAUAGUAAUACCCGGUUGCAAUUAUUGGCCGCCAUCUUUGAUUUUUAUAGACGUUCGGGCAAAAGGAGAAAUGUAUAUCCAGACAUGGACUAUAGCUAGAUACUAACUUUUGUGUUAGUUGUUUAGUUGAAAUGUAAUCUUAUUUCUGUAAAAGAAAAAAACAACAACAAACAAAUCAGCCUUUUUUUAUAUCAAUGUCAUCAAUGUGUAGGCCUAAUAUUAGACUUUCAAUGAUUCACUAGUUUCUCUACAGUUUCGUUAUUUUUUUUUCCAGUCAUUGAUGUUAGCAUGUACUACACAAAGAAAAACAGGCAAAGCAUGAAGCCAAAGGAAAUGUUUUUACCAAGGCAUGUUCCUCAAUAGCGGAGAGAGUUUUAUCCAGUGUCGGUUCUGCAGAAGAACCCAUUCAUAGCAGACCACCCAUUGCAGCACUUGUAAGGUCGCUAUAAAGAACCCGACAGACUCUGCGACGAAAAGAUCCCACUGACGUGUCGUCAAGCCUUGACGAAGAUUUCAUCGAUCAUAGUGCACCGGGAUUUUAUCAAAAAAGAGUAAAAGUUGGGGAAAGGCGCCAUCACAUUUUUUGUACUGAUAGACAGAUGCAACUACUCGCACGCGCAAAAACUUGGUAUAUGGAUGCAACUUUUCGGGUGGUGAACAAGCCAUGGUCUCAGCUGUUUUCCAUACACGCCUUCAUUAAGACUGGAGAGACCACCCGACAGUUACCAUUGGUGUUUUGUGUAAUGUCGGGUAAAAGCCAAGACGACUAUUAUAAGUUUCCAUAUUAGAUGCCAUAGCAAAUCAAAGAUCAUAUAAUAAAAUAAGUCAAAAAACCCAAAUAUGGAAAAAGAAAAAGCUGAAGAAAUGGUGAUUUGAGCACCUAUGCUUUCUCAUAGGUGUUUUUGGAGGUUUCCAUAUUAGAUGCCAUAGCAAAUCAAAGAUCAUAUAAUAAAAUAAGUCAAAAAACCCAAAUAUGGGAAAAGAAAGAGCUGAAGAAAUGGUGAUUUGAGCACCUAUGAUUUCUCAUAGGUGUUUUUGGAGGUUAACUACAUCAGAAAGAUCAAGACAGUUGGAAAUGGCUAUUCAUAUUAUGGAAACUUUUUCUCACAGAGCUUGAUAAUCAGGUAAAAUGCUGGAAGAUUAUUUGAUGUAUGAUAACAACAAGAGAUCCCAAGCAUCAAUUUAUUUUAUAAUUCUGGAAAAGAAUGCAUUUGACCCAAUUUUUGAAUAUUUUUUUUUGUUUUUACUGUUAAAUAUUCAUCCCAAACACAAUUAGAUUUUAAUUCUCUACAGAAAUUUAUGUAUAAUAUAGAAUGUAAAGUGACAUAUAAAUCACUUAGAAUUUGGUCGGAAAUCAUAAAGUAUUUAAUAGGCAUAGUCUAGAAACCAAAUGUAGAUCAAAUAUACCCAGAAUUACAAAAAACCUUGACCUACAUUAAGGUGACUUUCCCUUGCUUAUGAAAUGAAAUAGGGUUUAAUAUCCUACUUUUCUGUGUUAUUAUGGUGAUUCUGCCCUACAACCUACUCUUAUAUCAAAUAUUUCAACUGUCAAGGGUUGUUUAAAGGGAACCCAGGAGGGCCGAAUGGUUAACACACGCACAUUGGAUCAGAAGGGUCUGUCAUUGAGUCAGAUAAUUCAAUUGUCAAGGGUUCUUUAAAGUAAACGCAGUGGGGGUAGUUUCAAUUUUGGGCUUAUACCCAAUUAUCCCUUGCCAUGUCCUACACUACUGACGUGUGGGAACUAUGUCGGAAAAUCCAGUUGAAAUUUCUCGGCCAAUGCACUCACUCAACCACAGUGGCUCCUCCUUGCUUUUGACUUGUGAUUAUUUAUAUAUAUUUUGUACAUAUUAUUUAAUGUUUGCGAUUUUCUCUGAUAUUUUUUUAUUUUUCAAUCCUGUAAUCUUGAUGCUUUGCUCCUUUUAUGUACAAAAUAUUCAUUUUGUUUGAGGAAAAGGUUCUACAUCAUUUUAUUACUCCUGCAAAAUAGUGCAUUUUUCUUUUGUUAGUUUUCUGUGUAUGCUAGUUAUUUCUAGAUGCCUCACAAAUCACUUGUAAUAUGACUUUGUAGCACUUUUCAGUUUCUGAAAGUAUUUCAAUUUAGUGCAUAAUUAAUCUAAUUAGGGCUUGGUUUGGAUGUUAUUAAAUUUAGAUAUAUUUGAAUUAUAUAUUUUUGGGGUAUGGGGUAGGGAUCUUUCUUUUCUCAGUUCUUGUUUUCGGGUAAAGAAAAAAUUAAAUAGCUAUUUUGUAUUUUGUGAU